CAUCGAUUCCGUAAGUAGCGGCGAGCGAACGCGGAGGAGCCUAAACCGGUGUGCGUGCAUGCCGGGGUCAUGGACUGCAUUUAAGAUUCAGCGAAGUUAACAGAACGGUUUUGGGAAAGCCGGCCGGAGAGGGUGAAAGCCCCGUACGUGAAAGCAGAGCUGACUGAGCAGGAUCCGGAGUACCACGAGACACGAGGAACCUUGUGGGAAGUAAGGGGGACCACCCCCUAAGGCUAAAUACUACUUAGUGACCGAUAGCGCAUAGUACUGUGAAGGAAAGGUGAAAAGGACCCCGGGAGGGGAGUGAAAGAGAACCUGAAACCCUGUGUCUACAAGCUGUGGAAGUACUUUAUAUGUACGACCGCGUACUUUUUGUAGAACGGUCCGGCGAGUUACGCUUACUGGCAAGGUUAAGCACUUCAGGUGUGGAGCCGUAGGGAAACCAAGUCUUAAUAGGGCCAGAGUCAGUAGGAGUAGACCCGAAACCGGGUGAUCUAUCCAUGUCCAGGUUGAAGCUGCCGUAAGAGGUAGUGGAGGACCGAACCCACAUCCGUUGAAAAGGGUGGGGAUGAGGUGUGGAUAGGGGAGAAAUUCCAAUCGAACCCGGAGAUAGCUGGUUCUCCUCGAAAUAGCUUUAGGGCUAGCCUCGGUGUGAGUCUUGCGGAGGUAGAGCACUGAAUUUCCUAGGGGGCGUCAAAGCCUACCGAAGAAUAUCAAACUCCGAAUGCCGUGUAGAUAUCACCGGGAGUCAGACUGCACGAGAUAAGUUGGGCGGUCAAAAGGGAAAGAGCCCAGACCUACAGUUAAGGUCCCAAAGUGCGCGUUAAGUGGAAAAGGAUGUGGGAUUUCGAAGACAACCAGGAUGUUGGCUCAGAAGCAGCCAUACAUUCAAAGAGUGCGUAAUAGCUCACUGGUCGAGAGGUCCUGCGCCGAAAAUGUCCGGGGCUGAAACGCGCCACCGAAACUAAGGAAUCUGAAAAGAUUGGUAGAGGAGCAUUGCAUGCGGGAAGAAGCAGUACCGGAAGGAGCUGUGGACUGCAUGGAAGAGAGAAUGCCGGAAUGAGUAGCGAGAUAGAGGUGGGAAUCCUCUAGGCCGAAUAUCCAAGGUUUCCAGGGUAAAGCUGAUCUGCCCUGGGUGAGUCGGGACCUAAGGUGAGGGCGAGAGCCGUAGCCGAUGGACAACAGGUUGAUAUUCCUGUACUGCAGUAUGACAGAACUGUGGGGACACGUAAGGAGAGCGGGAGCCGGGAAUGGAAAGCCCGGUACAAGCGAGGUACCAGUCACAUAGGAAAAUCCGUGUGGCAAUGGGAAGACGUGAUGUGGAGCGAAGAUUAGUAGCGAAGCCCGUGAGCCAUGCGUCAAGAAAAGCCGCUAUCGUUCAUAUUGUACCCGUACCGUAAACCGACACAGGUGGAUGAGGAGAGAAUCCUAAGGCCGGCGGAAGAAGUAUUGCCAAGGAACUCGGCAAAAUGGCCCCGUAACUUAGGGAGAAGGGGUGCCUGCGAGAGCAGGCCGCAGAGAAUAGGCUCAAGCAACUGUUUAGCAAAAACACAGGUCUAUGCGAAACCGAAAGGUGAGGUAUAUGGGCUGACGCCUGCCCGGUGCUGGAAGGUUAAGAGGAGAGGUUAGCGGUAACGCGAAGCUUUGAAUUUAAGCCCCAGUAAACGGCGGCCGUAACUAUAACGGUCCUAAGGUAGCGAAAUUCCUUGUCGGGUAAGUUCCGACCCGCACGAAAGGCGUAAUGAUUUGAGCGCUGUCUCGGCAAUACAUCCGGUGAAAUUGAAGUGCCAGUGAAGAUGCUGGCUACCCGCGCCAGGACGGAAAGACCCCAUGGAGCUUUACUCCAGUUUGGCACUGGGGUCCGGUGUUGCAUGUACAGGAUAGGUGGGAGGCUGAGAAACGGUAACGUCAGUUGCCGCGGAGCCGCUGUUGGGAUACCACCCUUGUGAUAUUGGGCUUCUAACCAGCCGCCGU
rnacentral:rRNA from 1 species